UUGGACCUGUGGCCAAGGAAGUGAGGUCGGGUGUUGGGGUCCAUAGCUGAGCCUCCCCUCUGAGAGGAAGACUUGGACCCCUUUCUGUCAUAGUGGAAGAAGGCUGUGUGUUCCUUAGAAACAGCAAGUGAAAAGCUAGAAAAGCUGCCUGUGAUUUUAGACUUCGUUGCACUGGGAAUUGUUUAUAUAACAACUAUGUAGAUGCUUCAGUUGUGGCAGUAUCAAGGCAUCUCUCAAGUGUUUCACUACAAAUGGAGCUCCAUUUGGACAACAAAGAAGAGCCACCUUGACAGAGUGGUCACUGGGUAGCCUCAAGCACAGGUCGUAGUUCAAAUCUUCAGAGGGCAAGUUCAACUCUGCAAAGCUGCUUGAGAGGUAAAGGCCAGAAAAAUGGCUUCAUUCUUUUGAUAAAUCAUUUCUUUGAUUAAACCCUUGAAUUAUGACCCAAUUUCACAGGUGUGAGGAGUAAUGUGACCUAUAAGUGUGGCUUACCAGCUCUUCUUCAAGGACUGACCGACUGUGAAGGAAAUACAGGGGAGCAUCCUUACCCCAAAAAUCUGAAAUCCAAAAUGCUUCAAAUUUUGAAACUUUUUAAGCACCAAUAAAUUUGACUUCACAUGUGGAA
rnacentral:lncRNA from 1 species